AGAGUCUAGUGCCAGCACAUACCCAGACUGUGUGAUCCCAUUUCUCGUUGGAAUGAACAUGGAAAACAACUAAGUUUCCAGAGAUGGCUUCAUCUUCUUGAUUCAUAUUUUGCCAUAUUUUAUGAAUUUCCAAUUUUUUUUAGACUUCAUAUAAUUGGCAUUUAAAUGAGACUCCAGAUCUGAAAUUCAACCUCCUUGGACUGAACUGACCUCCGGAGGUUUUCCACAGAUUUGGACAAAUCACUCAGAGGACUCCAGUGGUCAUGAUUAAAUGUUGGCAGAUGUGGGAAUGGAUGCCAGGGCUUAGCAUUUUCAGGAAAUACGAGGCUAUUUUCUAACAUUGCUGCACCUUGUACAGUAGAGUCCUGGCAGUGUCACCAGCACACAUAGCUCAAAGCCAGUAGCAUCACUGCCACCAACAAGGACCUAAAUGAGACUGUACAAUAGUUGUCUUCUUGAACUAUAUUUCACAUGCCAUUUCCUUCAAUUUUGUCCGCCUAUGGGAUUCCCUUGGAUUGCUGAAUAGUUAUUCACAUGUAUACACAUAUCACAUUUUGUUUAUCAGUCCUGGAAAUGAUUCUUAACUAUGACAUGAAAACCAUAGCAACAAAAGGAGGAGAAAGUGAAGCAACGCCAGAGCAAAAAUCCCCUGUGCAGUCAUCAAGCAAGCAAAGGUUCCCGUCUUGAAGGGUUGAAAAGUCAUCCUGGUGCAAGUAUAAAUUCUAUGAGCCCUAGAUGGAAAAGAAGCCACUAUGACCUGUCACCUGAGGAAGGAGGCAACAAGGCUUGAUUUGUUGCAUCUUACACUUGACAGUUGUAAGCACUGACAUCCAGGUUCAUCUCAGAAAUUUUCCAAACGAACACACGAUAGGUGAACAUUUCUUACAACUUGGAAUAAAUCCUUGUUUGCUGUC
ensembl:lincRNA Gm43619 predicted gene 43619